UCCGAGUUGACCCCGGCGUCCUGUGCAUGUCAAACCCAGGUAAGGUUCUUCGCGUUGCAUCGAAUUAAUCCACAUGCUCCGCCGCUUGUGCGGGCCCCCGUCAAUUUCUUUGAGUUUUAGCCUUGCGGCCGUACUCCCCAGGCGGGGUACUUAAUGCGUUAGCUACGGCACGGAUCCCAAGGAAGGAAACCCACACCUAGUACCCACCGUUUACGGCGUGGACUAC
rnacentral:misc_RNA from 1 species